AACUUUGAAUCGUUUGUUAUUGAAGAGUCCAUCUCUGAUUGUAGCAUUCUAUUGGAAUAAACAUGUUCUUGUUGUGAAUCUUGUAGUUUCAGUAGAAUGUGGAAUCUUGGGUACAAGGAUACCAAUCAAAAAAACCUGGGAAGGCUUUAAGGCUACCAUAGAAUACCUCACAAAGAUUCAGGCCUUGACUCAUUUUUGGGGUUAUAAUAUGUAUUUCUUUCAAAGAGAGCAUUUAUGAGGUAUAGUCUGCUGCAGAAUAAGUGUUUUAAUAUGUUUCUUCAUUAUUCUAGUAUGAGUGAUAUAACGUUCGCUAUUCUAGUUUUUUAGCACUACUGUUUCUCAUUUUUUUUUUUUUUUGGGUACUAUAGUAGUGUUAUUAUUGCUUCUCUCUAUAUUUGUUUUGAGUUCAAAUAUUGCUUUGCUGUGCUGUGCUCUUAUUUGCUUACACGAUGGAGUCAAUGCUCUUCAAGAUCUAUACAGGUCCCUGAACAACCCACCAGUGCUGAAGGGAUGGAGAGUCAUGAACAGGAGUGUCAUGUUCUGAAUCAUCUGUUAUAUACCUUAAAAUUCAAGGACUAAACCUCACUGGGUGGAUUGGAGGCCAGCUUCAUAACCUGCAUCAUUUGAAGCACCUGUAACUGAAACUGCCUUGUGUUAUAUUUAGCUGUUAUUGAAAUAGUACCUGUACUGUUUAUUUAGUUCUUUAUUCUGGUUUCUUCUUUAGGGAUGUCAGCUUCAAUAACAUUCAGGGUGAAACUGUUUAGUAACAGGAAGGGCAACUUUUAUUUGUUUAAA